GAGGAGUCUGAUAUCGAUAAGGAUGGCACCAUCAAUCACUCAGAAUUUCAGCAUGUUAUUUCCAGAUCUCCUGACUUUGUCAGUUCCUUUAAGAUUGUGCUGUGAUGGAUCCAUUUUGACGGUUUACAGGAAGAUAAUCUCAGUAAAUCGUUAGUCUAGCCAGUAGGCUGACAUUCCUCAUCUGUGAAUGAAUAUUCUAUGGAAUGAUGCAAACAAUCGAAGCACAGGAUGUAACUAUGACAAAUCUUGCAAUAACUACUAAGAAAAUACCUUCAAAAUUAAUCUCAAGUGAAUCUCUGUUAUACUGUGUGUUUCAUUAUUAGCUUCUGUUUUAGAAGUUUAGGCUUUAUUUUUUGUUCAACGAAUGCUUGAUUCUAGAAACAAAGCUGGAUUUAGUUGAAUUUGUAUUCUCUUUCCCAACAUUUCAGGCAACUAUAAGGCUGAAUGUUAUGUCAAGUGUGUUUAAAUAUAUAUAUAUAUAUAUAUAUAAUCGCAAUUUAAUUUUUUUUCAUGAAAACAUUUGCCUUAAACUAAGUGCACUUUAUGGUCUACGUACUGGAUUUUCUAUGAGGUAUUUAAAAGUGAAAUAACCUGCCUGAUUAUAUUAUACAAGAAAUAUAUAUGCAGAAUAUAUUCUACAUGUGCCUCAAAUAAAAUGUUUACUGCUAAUGAACUGGAACAAUAACUUUUUUUGUUUUUAAUCAGCCUUGAUAUUUAUAGCUUUAGAAAAGGGGGGGGGGGGUGAGAGAUUAUAUGAAUGUUUAACAAUUUAAUGUUAACUUGAGAUGAUUAUUUUUUACUGUGACAUUUGUGAUUAAUAUAUGCCACAUGAGAUCAGGAAAAUUCACACCUUUUUUAGUUUUUUUUUUUAUUAUUAGUUAUGGUUAGAAAACUGCUGCACAACUUUAAAAUGAAUGAAUAAAUCCUUGCCUGAAAAAAAACAAUUUUAAAAUAAACCUCCAAUAAUAGCUUGAUUGUGUUAGCAGUAUAUUUUACAUGAUGUAGCACAGAACCUUUAAAAGUAUAUUGUGACUAUUGCUAAUGUAUGGCGACUUUGAAUACAUCAACAAUGUCAACUCUGAAUCUGUUAUACAUACUUUAUGCAAGUAAUAAAUCUGACUGGAAAAUCUAUAAACUGGCCAAGUACAGUUGUAAAUGAGAAAAUAUGCAACUAUUUGUUUACAUUUUAACUUGAAACAAGAAGUCAAAUGUAUGUGGUCCUGUUUAAAUUCUAUCCAAUAUUUAAUUUGCACUGCUUACUUUGCAAAAUGUGCAUUCUACUAGAUAAACAAUUUUACUAAUGCUGAUGGUUUCUUUACAGAAUUUAUAAAUAAAGUUUAAUUUUAAUACAAAAA